GACGAACGUUGGCGGCGUGCUUAAUACAUGCAGGUCAACUGAAGCAGUGGUAGCAAUAUCGCUGUGGAGGUGGCGCACGGGUGAGUAACACGUAGGUAAUCUGCCUUCAGGUCUGGCAUAACUCCGGGAAACCGGGGCUAAUAGCAGAUGAUGCAGCGGCUCGACAUCGAGACAGUUGUUAAAGCUAUGGCGCCUGAAGAUGAGCCUGCGUCUGAUUAGCUAGUUGGCGGGGUAACGGCCCACCAAGGCAACGAUCAGUAGCUGGUCUGAGAGGAUGAUCAGCCACACUGGAACUGAGACACGGUCCAGACUCCUACGGGAGGCAGCAGUAAGGAAUAUUGCUCAAUGGGAGAAGUCCUGAAGCAGCAACGCCGCGUGAGGGACGAAGGGCUUUUGCUUGUAAACCUCUGUAGUGAGAGAAAAAAAUCCCAAUCUUUGGGACAUGAUGGUAUCUCAAAAGUAAGCCCCGGCUAACUACGUG
rnacentral:rRNA from 1 species